rnacentral:rRNA from 1 species
AGCAUCCGCGGUAAUUCCAGCUCCAAUAGCGUAUAUUAAAGUUGUUGCAGUUAAAAAGCUCGUAGUUGAAUUUCGGGGUCAGUAGGUCGGUCGUGCCACUGGUAUGAACUGGUUUUACUGAUUCCUCCCUCUUGAAGAACUGUAAUGCCAUUAAUUUGGUGUUGCAGGGAAUCAGGACUGUUACUUUGAAAAAAUUAGAGUGUUUAAAGCAGGCUUUAGCUUGAAUACAUUAGCAUGGAAUAAUGAAAUAGGACGUUUGAUCCUAUUUUGUUGGUUUCUAGGAUUGACGUAAUGAUUAAUAGGGAUAGUUGGGGGCAUUAGUAUUCAAUUGUCAGAGGUGAAAUUCUUGGAUUUAUUGAAGACUAACUACUGCGAAAGCAUUGUAGCCAAGGAUGUUUUCAUUAAUCAAGAACGAAAGUUAGGGGAUCGAAGACGAUCAGAUACCGUACGUAGUCUUAACCAUAAACUAUGCCGACUAGGGAUCGGAUGAUGUUAAUUUUUUAAUGACUCA